rnacentral:misc_RNA from 1 species
UAGUGCUCUGUGAAACUGAAAGCGUUGGUAACUUGGUGUUGGGAAGUGUGGAUUCGUACGGUCAUCUUAUUGUCUCUAAGCUAGAUAGUAGUGGUAAAGAUAUUGAUAGCCUUACAUAUUCAGUAUCGCCACGGGAUUCAGGUGUUGGAGAAGGUAGUUUUCAGUCCAGGUCAAUGGUCAAUGGCAGCUGUAGCCCAUAGCUUCUGCAAAAGCAUUGAUGUUUAUGAUCAAGACAUUCACCUGCGAACUUUGCGUACACUCUGGUAUCCAUCCUCAUUGAACUUUUUGCAGAAUUUAAAUCAUGGAGAUGGAAGUUCAAUUUUAGCCGUCACUGAGGGCUGCCAGCUGACAAUAUGGGACUUGAGAAUGAAAGAAAAUGGUGGCUGUCUACAUCGAAUUUGUGGUUCU